GUCUCUUUGAAGGUAUAGAGAGUCUAACCUGCCCACUGAUUUUAAGUAUUAAAGGGCCGCGGUACUUUGACCGUGCAAAGGUAGCGUAAUAAUUAGGUUUUUAAUUGGAAUCUCGAAUGAAUGGUUGGACAAGGGGAAUACUGUCUUUAUAUUAUAAAUUAAACUUAACUUUUAAGUGAAAAGGCUUAAAUGUCCUAAAAAGACGAUAAGACCCUAUAAAACUUUACAUUAAGGUUGAUAUUUAUUUAAGUUUAUAGUAAAAAUUUAUUUUAAUUAUUAUGUUAUGUUGGGGAGACAAAAAUAUAAGGUUUAAUAACUGUUAAAUAGUUAGACAUUAGAUUUAUGAUUACUAAUUGAUCCUUGAUAAAGAUUAAAAGAUUAAGUUACUUUAGGGAUAACAGCGUUAUUUUUUUUGAGAGUUCAUAUCGAAAAAAGAGAUUGCGACCUCGAUGUUGAAUUAAGAUAUCUAUAUAGUGGAGAGACUAUAUUAGAAGGUCUGUUCGACCUUUAAAUUUUUACAUGAUUUGAGUUCAGACCGGCGUGAG
rnacentral:rRNA from 1 species